rnacentral:piRNA from 1 species
UCAUUUCAGUAGCUAUGGCGUCAUUCGC